GAGAUAUUAUAUUUGGGCUCUGCCCGCAAACAACAAACACACAUGUCAAAGAAGCGGGGGUUGGGUGAUUUGGCUGGCUGGUUGGUUGACUUGGCUGAUUUGGUGGCUGGCGCCCCCAGGAAAAGAAAAUACACUGCCUGAUAUAACUGACUUGGUGGUCGCUGACUUGGUAAAACGAAA
rnacentral:misc_RNA from 1 species